rnacentral:lncRNA from 1 species
GGGGACGCCUGCAGAGCGCAUGGGCAGAGCCACCGUACGUCCGUUUGUCUGGAUCGGAGGGGAGAGAGUGGGCGCCAUCUUCUUCUGGGUUCGCUGAGGGCUCUCCCGGCUCUGGGGAGGCUGCUGCGGACGAGGAGUGCUCCCCGCCCCCAGCCUUGGGGUUCCGACUCGGCGGCAGCGCCUCCAUGUGGUGUUGUGCGUGCCCUUGUCAGUCGGCUUGAGAGAGUGGAGAUCUGGAAGGAUUCCAUAGUUAAGUUGCUUUUACAGAAUUAACAGGUCUGCAAGAAAUAAAAAGGUCAUUAUUGCUG